rnacentral:lncRNA from 1 species
UUGUCUAGGGUAAGAGAGGUGGGUUUUGUGUUUGGCACAGGAUCCUGCACCUGAGUGUUUCCCAGUCCGCACCCCCAGGGCCAACAGCUUCUCCCUCAUAAGCAUUGUACCUUUGUCAAAGUCUAUUGGCUGGAGAAUUUCUUGACUUGCCCGUUUUUGUUUCUGGAAAGAAAAGCUAAGGGGCAAGUGCAAAUUCUCUUGGGGUCUGAGGCUCCUUAGUAUUCUAGACUACCUGGAGCACUUGCUUGAACUCGGUCCUUAAGAAUUUGCUGACCAUCAGCCUGCUUCCAUGCCCCUCCUAUGUUCCACCACAGAGAAAGUCUGCUGCCCACUUCGCCUCAUGUCUCACCACUCUUCAGAGCUGACUUCACUUGGUUGCCUCCCAACCUCUGCUUUUAGAUAAGCUCAAGGAUGAUUGUGAUUACAAUUUUGUAGUUAUCUGGAUCUUUCUUCAAAGACGAAUGCUCAGAGAUCCAACAUUGGUGGUCUGAAGUUUUUGGUUCACUCCCUGUCAAGGGAUCUAAGCUUCCAUACUGCUAGAAGAUUCAGAAGUGAAAGGUUUGCUAACUGACCUGCCAUCAAUCAUUUGGAGUUCUACUAUAGGUUGAGCAGCUCUCAUUGGAAAUGACUAGAGCCAGAAUCUGGAUUAUUUUCAGAUUUUGAAAUAAAAUACCAAGAUAUGAAAUAUAUAAUAAGUGAGGUAUCUUGGGGAAUAGACCCAAGAUACAAAAUAUAAAAUAAAUACAAAAUUCACUUAUGUUUUAUAUAUACACCUCUACAGUAGCCUGAAGGUAAUUUUAGAAAAUAUUUUCAGUGUGCCUGUGUUUUGACUGAGACCUGUCACAUGAGGUCAGAUGUGGAAUUUUUCACUGUGAUGUCAUGUCAGCACUCAGGAAGUUUUGGAUUUAUAACAUUUUGGAUGUCAUUUUUCAGGUUAGGGGUACUCAACUGUAUUUGCACAUUACUACUUAUAUAGCUAAGGAGACAGAAAUGAAUGAGGAUAUUGGAUGUAGCUCAAUGACAGAGCACUUGCCUCGCAUGUAUGAGGCCCUGGAUUUGAUUCCCGGAAUCUCACAAAACAAACAAACAAAAACAAAACAAAAGAAGAAUGAGGGCAAUCUUUGUUCUACAGUAGCUUAUAAUCUAGAGAGAAUAAAUACACAUAAAUCAAUGUGAUAAAUGCCAUAAUAGGAGUGGGGGAACAUGGGUCUGGAUAAAAAGAACACAAGGGUAAUGAGGAGGUAUAAUUAUUUGAGAUAUUUCUAGAAUUUUGAAUAAGAGUUUUCAGAUUAAAAAGGUGAGAAGUUGUCCACAGAAAACUAUUCCUUCUAUUCCUCAUUCACAGAUACAAAUUCUGUUUUCUGACAGAGUUGGCCUGGGGUGCAGUUCUCUUCCUGGGGCCAGGAAACCAACAGUUUUUACCCACAGAAGCUCUGUGCUGGGGUCCUUUAUUUGAGCUCAGCAUUUCCAUGAGAUCUGCAGGUUCCAGGUUGACAGCAUUAACAGCAGGAACCCAAAUGUAUUCCCCCAUAAAUUGUGUGUGUGUGUGUGUGUGUGUGUGUUUAUGUAUGUGUAAAGUUUGAUCGCUAUCUAAGAUGAUAUAUUUCACAUGUACCCUCUAGCCUCUAGAUUUGUUGUGUUGUACCCCAAAUGGGUGGAUAGCUGGAUGUUAGUUUAUUUUAACUACUGGGAUUAUAUGUCAACUUCAGUCUAAAAAGAAUGGUGAUCCCAUAUAAUUGCCAAAGCUCUCCUAUUUUGGCUACUUAUCCUAGCCCAGACGGUACAGUGUGUCAGUGCCAAGACAGGAAUAGUAUCGCCCAAACAGGGACUUGCUCGAGUCAGAUGCCCAGAGGAUCAUGGGACAUAGGCCAAAAUUUGGUCCUUGAUGUGAAAGUUGAGUUCACAGCAGGAUGAACUUAGGCAGAGUCUUAGCAGAAGAUGUCAACUCCCAAGCAUGUGGGCACUGUGAUCCGUCUAUGGAUCAGAAACAGUCGAAAUAGACAAGAACAGGAACGGGAACCAGGAGGGCACUUGAUUUGCCCUGGUGAUUCAUGAUGUGACAGAGUCUAUUUGAAGCCUUCAGACUGAGCCCUAUCAUUCCGUCUCCACUGAACAUUUGAAUAUCAUUUCUGAAUAACAUGCACAUUAUACAUACAUACAAAAAAAAAUCUAGUACAGAUCACAACUUUAAAAGAAAAAAAUUGAGCUAGAAAAGUAUAAAGUACACACAUGAAUCCAUAUGCAUGAUGCAUUUGUUUUAAGAUGACAAAGUACUCUGACAUGUAAUUUUUGAAAUAUAUAUGAAACAUUUAUAUUAAAGACAAACUGUAUCAUCUUAAGGAGCAAAUGGCUCAGUGAUUGAAAAUUUUCCUUUUUCUAGAACUACUGCCUAAUGAAAUGGGUUGAUGAAGAAUGAAAGAAUUAGACUACAGUAGAGGAGGAAAUAUCUAAAUUCCACAGUUCGGCACUGUAUGCACCAGCACAUCAGUGUCCUCGUGCUUUGGUACUUAAGGGUCCACCGGGCAGGGGUGGGUGUGCUGAGCCAGCACUGUGAAAGUUAAUUCCAUAUGCAAAUUAAGCAGCUGGCCACUCUUGGUUAUCUCAGCAUCUUUCCUACCUCUUCUGUUGUAAUUUUAAAUUUUUGCAUGACCAUGAAAUUAAAAAACAGGUGUCAACAUCUGCCAGACCAGAUAGUAAGUACCUUCAGGACCAUUAUAAGGAAUAAUAAUAAUAAUUUAAAAACCCCUGCUUUAAGUUAAUAUUUCCCUUAUUGGAAAUGUUCCUUCACAUUCCAUCCUCAUAGCACAGUAUAUGAGACUAUAUUUCGUCUUAUUCUGUUUCUGAAUCUGAUAUUUUGCUGAGGAUGCUGAAAAAAUAAUCAUCAGCAUGUUAUAUAAUUGGAACCCAAAUAUUGCCACCCAAUUUUUAUCCUCUUAUAGUGAAAACUAUGACAAUCUGAGUGGCCAUUUAUGAGCAUCCCCUUCUUCCGGUUUUAUUUCCUUGAAGGUGGUUUAAAAAAUUGGUGGUCUCUAAUGGGAAACCUUCACUGAGUAAGGGCUUAUACUCUCCAUUGUCCAUUUCUGUCUUUAUUUAACACAGGUUUACUUAUAAUAAUGGUUGUACAAAGGCACCUCUGGAAAUGUGGGUUAUUUAAUCCUUCCUUCCUUCUUUCUUCCCUCCUUCCCUCCUUCCCUCCCUCCCUUCCUUCCUUCCUUCCUUCCAGUUUAACCAGAAAUUGAACCCAGGGGCUCUUAACCACUGAGCCACAUCCCCAGUCCUUUUUAUUUUCUAUUUUGAGACAGGGUUGCACUAAGUUUCUUAGGGCCUCACUAAGUUGCUGAGGCUGGCUUUGAACUUGCAAUCUCCUGCCUCAGCCUCCUAAACCACUGGGAUUACAGGCAUGUGCCACAGUACCUGGCUCAGUUCUUAAAGAAAAUCCCUAUGGAUGAAUCAUGUAUAUAAAGACUGGAACUCCCCCAAGUUUAGUUACCAAUAAGGCAUUCCCUUCAUGAUGAGACCUCUAUCAGUAGAUCUAGAAGAGAGGUAAUUACAGGAUAUCAAUUAUUUGUGUGUGUGUGUGUGUGUGUAUUGUAAUGUCUGAGAAAAAAAUAUAAAACACAGAAUUGAAUUAAAGAUGUAUUUUAAAUGAUAACAGUUCAACAUUUAUUUUCCUCACUAGUAGCACAUUUGUUCAGAGUUUUCUACUUUUAAACUAUUUUCAUAUACUUUUACUCAAUCCACAUCACAACUCUGUGGGGAACAAGUACAUAUUUUUUACUCAUUUAACUCAUGAAAAAUCACAUACAUAUUUAAUGGAGUUAGAAACAUCUUGAAUUUGCCAUUGAAGAAACUGAAUUAUGAAUAGAAUAAAUGUGACUCACUGCCCCAAAGGCUGGAUCAGACCACGCAGCUGUCAUUACCCAGACAAGUCCAACAAAACCUGGAUUAUUUGGGUCUGUAUUUCAUCCAGGAAAUUGUAUCAAUCGUUUCCUUCACUUUUUAAGCAGCAGAUUGUUCCGGGAAUCACUGACAAUAUCAGGAAAAAAAAAAAAAAAAUUAAAAUAAACAGACCUCUGACCGCUAGAGUGCAGUAUUGUUCUCUGCAUACUUGGCUGUGCCUAUUCAAAGGAAAAACUAUGGAAUCCUGCUGUGAGAACACCUCACACCAUCACAAAGUAUACCAGACCUCAGAUACCAGGCAUGUGGCUUUGCAAGUCUGGCUUAGAUGACAUCGCAGUUCCAACCCCACAUUUCAACAGGGUAUUGACCUCUUGACGAGUGAAGGGGAAGACACAGUCUCCUCUGUUAACCAUUCUCUGCAUUGGGGUUCCAUUCAGUCUUCUGAAAACUUGCUGCUUCUUCCUAAGUGUUAAGCUAUCAAGAAAUAAUUGUUAUCAGGUAUUUUAAACUUGGAGUUCUCAGCUCUCACUGAGUAAUUGUUAUCACAGUCUCAGAUUUUACAUCUGAUUUAUUUAUUCUUUAGCAAAAGCAAGGAAUGGAUUACUUUGAUCAUGUUGUCAGCUAUUUAAAAAAUGAUAAAGAGGGGGGAAAAAGCUCUUAUUAUGAUAUAAAAAGAUACAUCGCAUAACCACAAGCACAAUGUAUUUUGACUGAUGUUCAAAAUGCUUCCACAGGUAUGGAGGUGGAAAGAUGUUUCUCAUGAUGGCAUGACAACAGUGUUUCUAGAAGGAUGUAAAAAUAGCCUGCAAAUUUUUACAGUAGAAUAAAAAGAUCCUUAACUUUGUCUGACUUUCUGGUUUAUGGGACUCAUGCUCCUUCCGAUGCUGACCCAAGAUCAUAACUACUGAUCUGUGAAAUUUCUGCUACAAGCUGGAGCUAUAUGUGGCCAUGCACCAAACUCACAGGUUCAUUUAUAUUUAGGGGCCCAGUGUUUCCCCAUAUAAACUGAAUAUCUGUAUCUCCCCGGCCCUUACCUUGGCUACACUGUGUUUUAAAUCCAGAGAAGCUAGAUAUAUUAUUAAUUUCAAUUCCAUAAAAUUUGACUGCACAUUACUUCUCCAAUGCUGGGCUGCAACCUAAUAUAUAUCGGCCUGGUUUCCACAGAGCUAACCAGUCUGAGCGACUCCAGUAUCCCAUGCAUAACAAGGAUCUGUUUCAUUGGCCAUUCUUGCUUCUUGGUUCUGUCUACAAAUGUGUGCUUUCCCACAGGUCUUCCUUAGGCUAUCCGGUGCUCUGUUUAGCUAUUGCUAGGGAUCCUUGGGAUGUUGUGCCAAAGCUGUUGUGGCUUGGAUAUGAGGUGUCCCUGGAAGAGCUCGUGAGGCAGUGCAAGAAUGUUCAGAGGUGAAAUGAUUUGAUUAUAAGAGCAAUAACCUAAUCAGCAGGCUAAUCCACUUGAUGGAUUAAUAAUUUGAAUGGACUACUGGGUCGUAACUGUAGGCAGAUGCAAUGUGGCUGGUAGAAGUAGGUCACUUGGGGGUGUGUCCUUGGAGAUUGUACUUGGUCCCUAGUUGUUGUUGUCCUCCUCCUCCUCCUCUUUUUCUCCCCACCCUUUCCCCCUGUCUCUCUCUUCCCUCUUCCUGCCUGCCAUGAGCUGAGCAGCUUUACUCCACCAUGCCCUUCUGCCAUGAUAUUCUACCAUCACUGCAAGCCUGGAGAAAUGGAGUCAGCUGACUGUGGAUUGGGAUCUCUGAAUCUGUGAGUCCAAAAUCAACUGUUACUCCUCUAAAUUGUUCUUGUCAGCAGUGUUGUUCACAGUGAUGGGAGCUGGCUAACACAAAUGCCCUCCAGUGUUCUGCGUGGAACACGCAUCUUUUGUCAUGUCUGUUUUCCUCAGAGUUCCAUUAGGGGAGGGCCUGCGUACUUGGCUGCCAUUCAUGUUACAGGAGAGGACAGGGCCAAGGGAGCUGUGUCCCUGUGACCUGACCUGACCUGAUAACUUUCCCUGGAGUCCUCAAUGAGCCUCAAUGAGUCCUCAAUGGAGUCCUCCCCACAACACUUCCAUAGAUCCAGGUAGACAGCCCAAUACAUCAAAACCAAAUCCUUCUCAUCUCUCUUUAUGUCCACGUAUCUGUGAAAACCCGCUCACCUGUUCUCCUUCAGCCACAAACCUCGUGCAAAUCAACUGUGGCCAGGCUUCUCACGCACAGUCAUCUCAGGUUCCUUUAAAUUCCAGCGUGGCUUUAUGCCAAGCCCUGAAAAGGACAGGUGGUCCAGGAUAUCCCUGUUUAGAAGUUCAUGUUCACAGCUUCGCCUUUCCUGAUGCUCAGGGGAGUACAGUGUACACAGUAGGCGCUGAGGGAACUCUUGGUGAGAGCAGUGAUGAUGAAUGAGAAUAUGCCUUAAUUUUACCCUCGCCAACCUGACCUCUGCUUGUUGUUCAUUGUGGCAAGGGCUGAGAGACGCACUUAGUAUUACAACACAGAAUUUACUUGCCUGUGGGAACCAGCCAUCCUCUCUUAAGCCUUUUUUUGGGUUUUUGCUAAAAUGGCACCUCCACAGAUGCCUUCUCUUGUGUGUUGCCUUCUCUUACUCCCUUAUUUAAAUUCAUGAGCCCCAUCUCUCCCUCUCUGCGUCACUUUGCUCCCCAGCAUUUGUACCAUCUGACAUGACAUAUAUUUUCACCUUGGCUAUUGCCAGCUCUCCACUGGCUCCAUAAGGGAGCUUUUGUCUAUUUCGUUCACUACUGGAUCCUCAAUGCUUACAAAAGUGUCUGACACAUAAUCAACACUCAAUAAACGUGUGUUGGAUAAAUAAAUAAAGCAUUUAACAGAGCAUUUUCCCCCAGAGCGGGCCCGUUAAGACAAACUUGUUUGAGAGAACACAGCUACAUUCUUUCAUCAGUUCAGGAACAUGGAAGGCCAAGGGUCACUGGUGGAUGGGGCCAUAGGAGGCUGAGGUGACUUACCAACUACUAAACUCUCCAGUUAUUUUCUUGGAUAGCAAGAGAUGCAAAGAAUACUUUGAUGGUAAGUCCUUCAGCAUUGGAAUCAUGGAGGGUCGUGAAGCUGGUUAGGCUUCCAGAAUGAUGGAUGGAGGAUUUGCUUCAGAGUUCUGUUUUACGGUGUUAGGCGUCCAAACUGAAAUAUUUUUACAAAUGUGCAUUUGUAAAAAAGCCUAUUAAAGGGACCUCUAUAACAACAAUGACAAAAAUUUUGGAUAACAUGGGAUGGUCAUGAUUCACAAAAUGCCAGGUUGCAAAAUAUAUAGUGUUUGGUGGGUUGGUACUUUGCAUUAUUUUAUUUAUUUAGUUAGUUAUUGUAGGGCUGGGGAGUGAACCCAGGGCCUUGUUCAUGUGAGGCAAGCACUGUAUCAACUGAGCUAUAUCCCCAGCCCCUAUACUUUGCAUUAUUAAUACUUUCUAAUAUUUCCCUUUUAUUCUCAAAUGGGGAGACCAGUUAUUAAUUUUCCAUUGUUAAUCAUGACAUCUAUUUUCUCUGCUUAUGCUCUGAUAUCUGGGGCCUUUGCUGACUCUGAAGGACUGCUUCUCCAGGGUCAGCCAUUUCCUAGAGACAACACACAACUCAUUCUCCAAGGAAAGCCUUUCAAAUGCAAAGAUGCAAAUCCAAAGACCAUACCCUAACCGCCUCCUCUAUUAGGGCUCUCAUACUCAGGGCCACUAUUGUUCUGCCCUAACCACUUUAAGACCACUAGGGAUAGCUCCUGUGCCCCAGAGCCCACUGACUCUGCCUUACCUGCCUCUUCUCUUGGUAAUCAUGGUAAAGGCUCUUACCCAGGCUUUCUCCUGGUUCCCUCUACCUCCUAAUUGACUCUGGUCCUUUUCCAUGUGGCCCUCCCUGGUGUGGCAUGUUCACUCCCAUUGGGGUCUGUAAUAAUGAAAUUAUCUUUUCCAAGGCAGUUAUCUUCUGAUCUGUUGGUCUUACUACAUCUAAUCAUAAAACCUGUGCUUUAAAAUAGUAGGGAACAAAAGAAGUUAAUCCUUGGGUUUUAAGGGCUUCUUUAACUUUGGUCCUGGAAUAUAAAUAAACAAUUACAUUGACAACAAUGUUCUAUACUAUGGAGAUGAGGGAACGAAGGGAGCAACAGAUGGUAACAAAGAUGUAGGACUCAGAAGAAGGAUCCAAAUAUUAAUAAUGCAAAGUAUAGGGGCUGGGGAUAUAGCUCAGUUGGUACAGUGCUUGCCUCACAUGCACAAGGCCCUGGGUUCACUCCCCAGCCCCACAAUAACUAAAUAAAUAAAGGAUCCAAAUUCUAUCUUUCCACUCCCCUUCCUCUUUUCCUAAGGGCUCGGCCAGGGCUGCAAGGCAGGUUUGGAAAACCAAACUACGGACAAACCUUCACCUGUCUUCCUCUUUGGAUGUCUAGCACCAAAGUGAUCAUUAGACAUCUUUCUAAUUCACACUUUCCUUGAAAUAGAUUGUUUUAGUCAGGUUUUUCACUAGUGUGACUAAAAGACCUGACGGAACAACUGUAGAGGAGAAUAAGUUUAUUUGAGGGCUCACGGUUUCUGAGGUUUCCAUCCAUCGAAGGCCAACUCCAUUCCUUCGGGCUCCAGAUGGGGCAGAAUAUCAUGGCGGAAGAGUGUGGCAGAGGGAAGCAGCUCACAUGGUGAUCAGAAAGCAAAGAGAAACUCUACUCUCCAGAUACAAAUAUAUACCCCAAAGCCACGCCCCCCAAUUCCUACUUCCUCCAGUCACACCCUACCACAUCAGUUACCACUCAGUUAAUCCCUUCCAGGGGUUGAUUUACUAAUUAGUAUGAGAUUCUCACAACCCAUUCGUUUCUCCUCUGAACCUUCUUGGAUUGUCUCACGUGUGAGAUUUUGGGGGACACCACAUCUAAACCAUAACAUAGAUAAUAUCAUUAACUUAUAGACAUGAAAGAUGAGAUUCAAAGAGAUCAAGACCACGUAACCAUAAAAUUGAUGGUAUUGGAUUAUGACAAUUUUUAUACUUUACUAGUUGCUUCCUACAGGACAAACACAAUGAUGCUAUUUAUUUUAUCCACUCAAUCACACAGAAUGGCAUAGCAUAAAAAUGGAGCAUAGAUAGCACCUUCAACAAAUGGUGCUGGGAAAGUGGGAAAUCCAUAUGCAACAAAAUGAAAUUGAGCUCCUAUUUCUCACCAUGAACAAAACUCAAGUCAAAGUGGAUCAAGGACCUAGGAAUUAAACCAGAGACUCUGUGUCUAAUAGAAGAAAAAGUAGGUCUUAAUCUUCAUCGUGUGGAAUUAGGCCCCAACUUCCUUAAUAAGACUCCUAUAGAGCAAGAAAUAAAACCAAGAAUCAAUAAAUGGGAUGGAAUAAAACUAAAAAGUUUCUUCUCAGCAAAAGAAACAAUCUGUGAGGUGAACAGAGAGCCUACAUCCUGGGAACAAAUCUUUAUCCUUCACACAUCAGACGGAGCACUAAUCUCUAGGGUAUAUAAAGAACUCAAAAAGCUAAGCACCAAAAAAACUAAUAACCUAAUCAACAAAUGGGCCAAGGACCUGAACAGACACUUUUCAGAAGAGGAUAUAUAAUCAAUCAACAAAUAUAUGAAAAAAUGUUCAUCAUCUCUAGCAAUUAGAGAAAUGCAAAUCAAAACCAUUCUAAGAUUUCAUCUCACUCCAGUCAGAAUAGCAGCUAUUAUGCAUAUGAACAACAAUAAGUGUGGGGGAGGAUGUGGGGAAAAGGUACACUCAUACCUUGACGGUGGGAUGGAAAGCAGUUUGGAGAUUCCUUGGAAAACUUGGAAUGGAACCACCAUUUGAUCCAGCUAUCAUUCUCCUUAGUCUGUACCCAAAGGACUUAAAAACAGCAUACUACAGGGACACAGCCACAUCAAUGUUUAUAGCAGCACAAUUCACAAUAUCUAAACUUGGAACCAACCUAGAUGCCCUUCAGUGGAUUAAUGGAUAAAAAAAAAUGUGGCAUAUAUACACAAUGGAAUUUUACUCAGCAAUAAAAGAGAAUAAAAUCAUGGCAUUUGCAGGUAAAUGGAUGGCGUUGGAGAAGAUAAAGCUAAGUGAAGUCAGCCAAUCCCCCCCAAAACAAAUGCCGAAUGUUUUCUCUGAUAUAAGGAGGCUGACUCAUAGUGGGGUAAAAAGGGGGAUCAUGGGAGGAAUAGAUGAAUUCUAGAUAGGGCGAGGGGUGGAAGGGAAAGGGAGGGGGCAGGGGAUUAGCAAGGAAGGAGGAAUAUGAUAGAUAUAAUUAUCCAAAGAACAUGUAUGAAGACACGAAUUGGUGUCAACGUACUUUAUAUACAACCAGAGAUAUGAAAAAUUGUGCUGUAUAUGUGUAAUAAGAAUUGUAAUGCAUUCUGCUGUCAUUUAUUUUUUUUAAAUCAAUAAAAAAGAAAAAAAUCAAUUUAAUCAAUGCAUCACUUUUCAAUUUAUUAUUUCUUUGCAUUUUGUCUUUAACAAUCAUUAAAACAACAGGUGCACACAAUUUUUAAAAAUUAACUAUUCUGAGAAGCUUAGAGUGUGAAGGCAGCAGUCCCUGGCCAACUCCUCAGAUCCUAUCACUCUGCUCCUACUGGAUAAGCCCUAUUGACAUUUUUAGGUGAUAUCCAAAUAGAAAGUAAAUCAUAUAUGCUGUUAUUUUUGAUUCAUCAAUUUUAGACAAUAUCAAUUAUAUCACUGUUGUGGGAGUUGAAGCUGAAGUUGCUAGAUGUGGAUUUAAUUGUGCAAUCCCCUUUGAUAAAACUAUGUCCUGUGAAUCCUCAUCUCCACCACCACAACACAGAUCUACAGAUCUAUAAACACGGUUUACAUUAUCAUGACUCUAACUUUGGCUUACUGUAAAAGUAAGUCAUUUGCUGUAAUUACAUUUCUUUUUUCUCAAAGAAUAUUUUCUUCUGGAAGUUACCAAUUGCCUUAUUUUUACUUGUAUGUUUUUUUUAUUUUAAUUUUUUUAUUAGUUGCUCAAAACACUACAAUGAUCUUGAUAUAUCAUACAUUUGAUUCAAAUGGGGUAUGAAUUCUUACUUGUAUGAUUUUUAUUCCAUAAAUCUUUUCUUAAAAUGUUCACACUGCUUCAUAUCAUCUGCAGUAAACCAACAGGCAGAAAUGGCUGGACUUUUACCAAAAUCUCUUCUGAAUUCAAUAUUCAAAUCCAAAAUCUUUAAUAUUUUUCACUUCUCUUCUUCUUACUAAAAAUGAUGAUAGUAGUGCUGGGACUUCUCAGAGAAACAAAAUAAUGGGAUAAAGGGAAGAAAGUAGAUUUGGAGAGAGAAGUAUGAAUAAAAUGGGAUAAUUUGACCCUCAAAAACUAAGACAGAUUUGUAAAAGAGGGAGAGGAAUAAAAGGAAAGAACUUACAAAAUGUUGCCUUCAUAGCAAGACCAUUCCUGGCUUAAUCAUUUUAUCACUGCAACCACCAAAGUUUCUGUAACUCUUAUAUGUUUAAGCUACUGGUAUGGUACUCCUCAUUUUUUGAGCACAUGGUGUAUCAUCUUCUGUAGGUUUAAUUGUACGUUUUUCUGUCUCCUUUCUCUGGAAUGCAUAUGCAGGUGUUAGGGGACAUUUGUGUAUUUAGUUCACUCCUAUAGCACCACAAGCAAGAAGUACUCAGAACACAGUCAAAUCAAUAAAUGCAAUUGAUUGAAUGAGAGUCUAUGAGAAAGAAGAAUUUCAAUGCAGAAUUAAUAGAGCUGUUACCAAUUAACUAUUGGGGGGGGGAUACAUGAUCUCCCAAGAGGAUGAGGAUGAAGAGAUGAGGCCAAGAUAUACAGUUGUCCAUAUUGCUGGUUGUGUGGCUCCAGUAGCCCAAGGUAAUGAGGAGGAAUUUAAAGAGGAGGAAUGGUGAUGCCCAUUUAAUAAUGGUAUGGUAAUAUUGCAUACAGGUGAUAUGGCAAGCAGGGAUAGAGAGGAAAAACACACAGGCAUACAAAAAACCCAAUCAGCUUCUAUUCAUUUGUUUCUCUGACACUUCCCUGAAUCAGAUGUAAAUGUAACACCUGUUUUUUCUCCUGGGAUGACUCAACUUCAAAUAAUAAUAAAUACUUUGGAGGUAAAUGUUCACAUUCACUUUUUCUACUUAACAUAGGAUUGCCAGAAAAAAACUUUUUAAUCACUCCUUUGCAAAAAUGAUUUGAGUAUUUAAAUAUACUUUUUUUCUAUAAUAGUGUGGUUGAGUAUUACUAAUUCAUACUGGGUAAUGAUAUAGUAAUGCUUUAUUAGCAUCAACCUGACAAUGAACUGUGAUCAGAAAACCUGGUGUGGAACAAAUAGCUCUACCUUGAAGAUCUACACUCAAGGCCUCAUUGACUCUACCCACCUGAUGUGACCUGUACUGAAUCAUUGUGUUCUAGCCUUUCACAUCCUACCUCUAAGAAAGAAAGGGAGACUAAGUGAUCUCGAACUUCUCCUAUUUGGACAGUUUGCGCUUCUCUAACAAUUUACAGAAAAGGACUUGUACAUGUUGAUCAAAUCAUGUAUCUGGAGAUAUUUCCUUAUCAAUAUAUGAAGAGCAAAAAUCAUACACACACAUGCACACACACACACACACACAAUCUCCAAAGUGAUAGAUAUGCCAAUUACCCUGAUAUCAUAUUACACAUCGUAUGCAUGCAUUGAAACAUCAUGCCAUACACCAUAAAUAUGCACAUUACCAUGUGUCAAUUAAAAAUGAAAAUAUAGUUUAAAAAAUUUAAAAGAAUUAUAAGUGUUUUUUGAAUGUAAGUAAUGUGUUCUCAAUUAAAUUGUUUCACUGAUUUUUGAGUGUUCCAUUCUAUAUUUUCAACUAGGGUGGAAUUAUAUAACUGAUUAUGUUCAGUGAUCAAUGGUGUAUUCAUAAAGUCAUAUACACAGAAGGGAUUCUAGAUAUUAUUUGUUCUAUUCAUCAUAUCUUUACAUAUAGUAAAAAAAUGGAAUUGAAAGUGUACAUAUGUGUGUGAGAAAGAUGAAAACAAAAAUUUUUUUUUUAUUUUAAAAUCUUCAAAUUAAUCUGUCUCAUAGAUGUUCAAAGCAGCAUCUAGAUUCUCAAAAGAAAGGAUCUGGGGAAAACAAAGUUGCUGUAUUUUGCGGGUUGAUUGUAUUUUUCGGGUUGAUUGUAUUCUCAGAAUAUCUACAUGUAAUUUUGGAAAAGAAUAGGAAUAAAAGUGUUGGUUAACUUUGUGGGAACCAUAUGUACUUCAUUGAUGGGGAAAUGUCAGUGGGCCUUAAGUCUGGACAGCUAAUAAAUCAUUUUCAUGAACUUGAUAAAAAUGCCUUUUAGCAAGACAAGCAAUUGACAGCAAAUUCUUGUUGCUAAGAACAGGAAAUAAGGGGGGAGCGUUGGUUAAUAAGAAAACACAAGGUAGGGCUGGGGUUGUGGCUCAGUGGUAGAACGCUCGCCAAGCAUGUGUGAGGCAGUGGGUUCGAUGCUCAGCACCACAUAAAGUAAAAUGAAGAUAUUGUGUCCACCUAAAACUAAAAAUUAAAUAUUUCUAAAGAAAAAAAGGGUAAACUAGUAUUCUUUGGUUUUUGAAAUUAUUUUCUGAAAAGUUUCAAGAUGCUUUCCUUUAUGAAAGAAAAUUACCUGAUAAAAAUUCAGAGUGUGUGGCAUGCCUUUCCAUGUGGUCUUGGAAAACAAGCUCCUCUCCACAUCCAUAUGUCUGGGGUAUUUAAUCUCAAAUAUGUUCAUUUAUAGACUUAACACAUUCAAUAAUGCAAUUUCAAAGCUUCUUCCGGAGUUAAGUUAUUUUAAAAUUUUCUUUUAGAAACUCUGGGAAGACUGCGAUUUCUGAGAGUGAAAUUUAGGAAGUAAACAUAUAACCAGCAUCUUCUACAAAGUGGGAGAAAAACUUCCAGAACGUAUUUAAUAGUGAUAUCUUUUUGUUCUAACCACAAUUUAGUCCGUCUACAUAUCAUAACAAGCCACAUUUCACAUGGAGCAAAGAUAUUUCUGGCUGACAACUGUGGGAGAUGACUAUUUUGUAUUUUGUUCUGGAAGGUGGUAGAUUUUUAGUAUCAGGAUUAAACUGGGUAGGUAGCCAUUCAGGACUUGAGGUGGGACUUACUAGUUACAAUCUAUAGACAGAGAUACCAGGUUUUUCUAUGGCAAUAAAACAAGCUCUUUUUCAAGAAAGUAGCUAGUCUAUUAUAGACAGAUUAGAAGAGACAAAGAAUUUUAAAAGAAAAAGAAAAGAAAAAUAAUAUAUUAACCAAGUCAGAAAUACAGUUCUGAAAACAGUUUUCUUCAAUUCCUAGAGAGGAAGGAAUCUGGUCAAAGGAGAAACAAACUCCUAGUACCUGUAGUUUGAUUGUAUAUGUGUGUAAACACAGUUUAAGGUAUGACUUAAUGUUGGUAUUAUGGGCCAAGCUUGGUUCAUUUUCAUAUUGUAAGACUGUUUGUGGUUGCAACAGAGACAAAUUAACUGGGUCUCUAGGGUACCCAUCAUCUUCUGCUUAACCUUUUGACCUUCAACCUUUAAUGUCCUCAGGAGUUCACAGGAUCACCAGCGAUUAUCUCUACUUGGUCACCUGGCUGUACCUGGUCUUCCAAGCAGAACAGAAAAGGAUGCCACUGGACUCUGUUACACUACUCAGAAUGGGACAUAAUAUAAAAUUUGUGAAUUGUUUAUUUCUGGAAUUUUCCAUUCAGUAUUUUUAGACCAUUAUUGUUCAUAGGUGGCUGAAACUAUGGAAAUGAAACUGGGUAAGAGAGGGAUGACUAUAUUUAUUUAUAUUUAUAAAAGUAUUAAAAACAAGCCAGGCGCAGUGGCGCAUGCCUGUAAUCCCAGCAGCUUGGGAGGCUGAGGCAGGAGGAUUGUGAGUUCAAACCCAGCCUCAACAACAGUGAGGUGCUAAGCAAUUCAGUGAAACCCUGUCUCUAAAAAAAAAAUACAAAUUAGGGCUGGGGAUGUCGCUCAGUGGUCAAGUGCCGCUG